rnacentral:rRNA from 1 species
GACGAACGCUGGCGGCGUGCUUAACACAUGCAAGUCGAGCGGAAAGGCUCCUUCGGGAGUACUCGAGCGGCGAACGGGUGAGUAACACGUGAGUAACCUGCCUCUGACUUUGGGAUAACCCCGGGAAACCGGGGCUAAUACCGGGUAUGACCUGACCAGGCAUCUGGUUGGGUGGAAAGCUUUUGCGGUAAGAGAUGGACUCGCGGCCUAUCAGCUUGUUGGUGGGGUGACGGCUUACCAAGGCGACGACGGGUAGCCGGCCUGAGAGGGCGACCGGCCACACUGGGACUGAGACACGGCCCAGACUCCUACGGGAGGCAGCAGUGGGGAAUAUUGCACAAUGGGCGAAAGCCUGAUGCAGCGACGCCGCGUGAGGGAUGACGGCCUUCGGGUUGUAAACCUCUUUCGACAGGAACGAAGCGCAAGUGACGGUACCUGGAGAAGAAGCGCCGGCCAACUACGUGCCAGCAGCCGCCGUAAAAC